UGGUAAAAUAAAAAUACGAUGUGAUACACAAUCAAACUUCCAAUAAGUAUUAUUGACUAUUGUAUUAAUAUAAAAUAAUUGUAACUAAAUGAUUUACCUAACGAAAUUAAUAAAUAAUCUUGUAGGUAGAUACCAAUAUCGGCAAUAUUAAAAAUAUAACUGCUUAAUUUUUGAUUGCUGCGUGUUAUAAUCACGAUUUAAGAUAGGUAUAUACUGUACGCUAGGUGUUGCAGUAAUAUAUUGUAUUGAAACCAUUAUACUCUGUGUAGUUGUGUACAUUUAUAAAUUAUAAGUUGGUCACUCAUUUCCGUCUAUCAUCUGCGCAAGUUGCGGCAGAAAAUGCAUAUUUUGUCGUAAGAUCUGUCGCAGCGACGAUAUUAGCAUUGUAUUUUUGCUACCUGGGAAGGUGGCAUGUGAUUAUGAAAUGAAAAAAUAACACUGUAACAAAAUUAUAAAAUGAGAUGAAAGAAUUAAGAGAAGAAGUAAACAAAUUAAAUUUAAUAGUUGGCCACCUAGAAAAUAAACGACGCUGUACCCGUUGCCCGGGAGAUUUCCCACGGUGUCGGACACUCGGACGAUAUUCCUAUUGAGUUGAUUCGCAAUCGUAAAUUAUUCGAGAAGUUUACAUAAAACAUUAAAGCAAUGUUUUGACAUUGCAGUCAUGUAAUAACAGAUAUGAAGAUCAACAAUAUUAUAGAUGUCAGGAGCUAUCGGGGAGUGUCUGCUCAGUCAAACAUGGACGUUGAUGGGGCAAGGAACGUGGCCGCGGGUCGGACGCAGAUUCGCUAGUUGUUGGAUCGCUGGUCGUCUAGUCGGCGGAGACGGUUUCGGUAAUUUUGAGGAUUCAAAAGUUCCAGCCAUGUGUUAUUUUCAUUGACGAAAUUGGUAUUUGAUUAUUUUGAUGUAUUUUUAACUAAUACUGUACUUCGCGUCAUCUGUGUAAAAACGCCAAACGCCAAACCUUUUUUUAAAUAAUACAAUUCCAAUAAUAUAGGUAAUAAUAAUAUAAUUUUUAAUUUCACGUAUUAUUUACCAAUUUUAUAUGAAUUUUUUUUUAAAAAAAUAAUAAGAUCAAUAAUAUAAUAUAAUAUAAUAUAAUAAUAAGCUAUUCUUAUAGUGAUUAAAAAAUUAUAAGAAUACAUAGGCACAACUUUUUUAUUUUUUAUUAGUAUUUGAAGUUCAAAUAUUGAUAAAAAUUCGUCAAUAUCAUGAAUAUUUUCAAAUUAUUUUGUAGGUAUAAUUCAUAAAAAUUUUUGCAUAAAUAGCUAAGAGCUGAAAAUGUAAUACAAGAUUUUUCAUAAGUUUAGCUUACAAUAAUUAUAAAAUAACUUAAAUUUUGGUGUAUUCAGGCCAUUAAAACAUAAACCAACAUUUUUACCAACCACUGGAAAUUAUAUCCUAGGCAGACAAAUCAUCUUCGUUCAGAAUCGUUUUUCGUAUGCAUUAUACAAUGAUAUCUAUCAUUUUAUUAAAAUUUAACACUCCUAUAAUAUAUAAUAGUGAUCCACAUUCUCGGAUAUGUACAUAUUAAUAUAGGUAAUAAUAAACCUUAUACUAGGUAAUAAGUAUAAGGUCUAUGGUAUUGGAAUUAUUGUUUUGUGAUUAUACAGAACGCAAGAUUAUUAUUUUGCUUCAUAAAUUUAAAUAAUUUAAUGUUCUAGGUGGGGCGGAGUUACAGAAUACAAGGGUAUUCUUAACUUUUGGCUUUUCAUAAUCACUAAUCGGUAUCUAUUAUUAGAAUGACGUAUUAUGCAUCAUCGUCGGAGUCGGUAAUCGAAAGCGAUAAGCGAAUAAUAGUAUUUAUAGUAGUAAUAUUAGUCCAAUUAAUAUUAUAAUUAUAUGACAAUUGACAAUAAAACAGCUAGGUAAUAACAGGUACAAAUUUAAUAUUAUCACCACUCUCCGCUACACCAUGGAUCGUUGAUAUCGAAUUCAUUACUAUUAUAGCUACUGCAGUGGCGUAGCCAGGAUUUUUUUUAGGGGGGGGUUCUUUUUAGUAAUGAAAUAAAAUAAAUCUACAACCGUAUUGAAAUAAUAAAAUAAUUGAAUGAUAAUGAUUAUUAUCACCAGUGCAGUCGAUAACGUGAAUACGGCAUAACAGAAUACAUUUUACCACGAAUAAAUGAUUGUUUUUCUAUAUUAUAAACAUUAUAUUUUUGAUAAAAAUACGGCCCAAGGGGGGGGUUUCAACCCCCAAAACCCCCCCCUGGCUACGCCACUGAGCUACUGGACUUAACAAAUAAAAAUCCCAAUUCUGACUAAUUAGUACUGAUGUAGGUAUAACACUUAAAACUUUCUAAAACCAACCAACUUUGAGCAGCUAUAACUCGCCGACGGAUCAAUGAAAGUUAAAAAUUUUAACGUGAAAAUUCAUGAAAAAAAUGGCUUUAUUAAUUUAUGCAAUUAUUAAUAUAGGUUGCCAUUUGAAAAUCAAAAGUUGAUAGUUAUUUUACUAUUAAAUAUAAGAGCAAAAAAAAUUAAAAUUUUAUACAGUUGUAGAAAAUCAUGUAUCUAAAAAUUUGAAAACAAAAAAAAUGAAAAAAAAUCUAUACUUUUUGAAAUAAUGAGUGUUGUUUGAUAAAAAAAUCACCCUGUAUAAUAUAUAUUAUAUUAUAUAAUUAUAUCUUAUGUACGUUUUAACAUCAUAAUGAAUAUUCCAUGAAAAUCGUAAAUAAUUUUUUUUAAUAUUAUUAUUACAUGCCAGGCGAGACGGUUUUGUGUUGGAAACAUACCAUUUGGUGUAACUGAGGAUGAAAUGAUGGUGUUCUUUAAUCAGCAGAUGCAUUUGUCUCGAUUAGCUCAAGCUGCUGGUAAUCCUGUGCUUGCAUGCCAAAUUAAUUUAGUUAAACAUUUUGCUUUUUUGGAGGUAUAUACAUGUGUUGUAUUUAAUGUUACUAUAAAAUUGAACAAAAAUGUAAAUGCUAUUCAAAUAUAGUUUAGAUCUAUUGACGAAACUACUCAAGCAAUGGCUUUUGAUGGUAUUAAUUUCAAAGGUCAGAGUUUAAAAAUAAGACGUCCGUCCACAUGAUUAUCAGCCAACACCUGGAAUGACUGAAAGUAAUCCGGUGACAAACUAUAAUUCUGGAAUGACAUUAGACAUGACACUAUUCCAAUUUUAAGAAACUUUUAUCGGCCAUACCUUGUUAAGAUAAUUUGAAAGUCUGUAAGCUCCUGUUCGUAAGCUAUCAUAUAAUGGUAGCAUUAAUGUCGCAAAUACCGACACACUGACAACAGCCGAAGACCAUUUUAUUGUUUUAUCGAAUGUGCUGAUGGAAUUCAUUUUGACUAUUUUGUAAUUUCGGGUGAUAGACUAGAGUAUUUUAAUUAGAUAAAAUAUAUUGUAUAUUUUAUAAACAAACUAUUAUUAUUAUUAUUAUUAUUUAAACCAGAAAACAAAAUAAUGAUAAUGCCAAUAACUAUUAUUUAUGAUUUUUUAUUUAUAUGCUAUAGGGACCGGUGAAAUUCGAUCGCGGUUGUUUGAAAGCCGCCUUCGAGAACGUGUGUAAAGUCGGGGGACCAAAGCUAUAUAGUCAUUGCUAAAUAGUAUUAAUAGUAUUUAUUUAUUUUUUAUUUUUAUUUUUUUUUAAUAGUAUUUAGCGGCGAAUUUUAGCCAUGUAUAUAGUCAUAUAGUGGACUAUUUUCUUCGACAAAUAGUCUGAGUACUCUGACACGGAGACAGCGAUAUCUGCGGUUCACCGGUCUAAGUUGAUUGCGUGGUCACUUGUAGUUGGACAAAGUGAACACAGUGUUUAAUAUGUUAUAUGAUUUAUUUAAAAAAAAACAAAAAAAUGACACCAAGAUAGUCACGUAUGAUAAGGAGAUGACCUAUGGUCUAUAUGGGCAAAAUGGGUGUAUGCAUUGGCAAUUACGACAAAGGAGAAGCUAAGAUUUAAAUUUUUAUACCCGGUCACCAUACAUAUAACCACAAAAUAAGUAAUACUUACCAAUAUUUAAUAGGACUUUCCAAGUAUCAAAUUCACACGCGUACUCUUAAUUUAAAUAGGUACUUCUAUGUUUAAUUAAAUUAAUAAACAAAAUAAAAUAUAAUAUAAACAACACAUUUUGACAUAUUAUUAUAAUAUAAAUAAUAUUAAUAUAAUAUAAUAUUGACUGUUAUGUCAUGUUAUUUUAUUAUAAUGUUGAUGUCUGAUGUUCUAUGCUUCACAAGAUUACCACAAUAGUCAUACUACAUAGUACAAUAUGGCGUACGGUCAGACGUUAGUAAAACUUUUACUGUAAAAGUAAAGUUUUCACUUUUCAGUAAGUUGUCACGAGGUAUCGUGUAAUCAUGAAAUAUUAUAUAACUGAAAUCUGGAUGAUAGCCUGCCAGUUGCGAUCUCGGACAGUGGCGUAGUUAUGAUUUUGUUCUGGGGGGGGGAUAUACAAUUUAUUGGUUAAACAUAAAGUGGGGGGCUCAAUAAGUCAAUGAUUUAAACAUUAAAAAAAAAGGCUCUGGGGGGGGGAUCUAUCCCCAUAUCCCCCCCAUAACUACGCCACUGGAUCCACUGAUCCACACGGCACCUAAUGUACAGCAGAGCGGUACCCACUUACCCACUUUUGAAUAAUAAUUAUAAAGCACAGACAUUUUUUUACAUUGUAAACUCUAGUUAGAACAUAGAGUGGUUACUAUGUUCGAUAUUAUACAUUUGUAAUUCAUAAACCUUGUGUAAUUAAUCCUUGGGCUACUGCUCUUCAAAAUUGUAGAACACUUACUUUUGUAUCAUUAAGUUUUUUAUUAAUUACAAAUGAAAUUACAAAAUUUAUAUCAAUAAUACCCCAAAACUAUAGUAAUAACAAUAAACUUGGCGUGCGAGUGCAUAUCGCAUGACUAUUAUCUAUGAGAAAUGAGAAUAUUCAUCAAAACUAUACCCUGAUAAAACUAUCACGAAUUAUACAAAAUAAAAAUGUCGCAAUAGACCAUAGUGACUUCAAAGUCCGUCGUGAUUAUUGUCAAUAAACACAUAUUUAUAUACACAAUAAUAAUGGUAUUCAAUAGUAAUCAGAGCCCAACUUAGGAAUUUUGGGGCCCGGGUCAAAUUUUCUAAUGGGGCCCCAAAAUUAAUUAUUAUCUAAAUUCUAAAUUAUCAACUUAAAUUAUAAUAAUAUCGAGGCCCGGGGCUGCAGCCCCCCUAGCCCCCCCUAAAUUGGGCUCUGGUACCAAUAGUACCUACGUUCUGGUUCUCGGGAUUAUAACGAAAAUAAUAAUAACAAAACCCAAUGCUUUUCUAUAAUAGUUCGCGCUGUGGCUAUUUAUUUAAAUAUCGACAUUUAUUUUAUGGCCUCAACUAUAUUUAUUUUAUUGAGUGAUAUAUUUAACGUCAUCUAAUGAUUUCACAGAAAAUUUUCAGGAAAUAUUAUCGAUUAAAAAUGGUGUGACUUAUAAGUCACUAUGGUCAGAUAGUACUUAAUUUAUUUUACCUAUGUUUAAAUGGAUAAAAUACACAGAGGACUCAAAAGUUCCGUUGGUCGACAAAGGGAUAAUUACGUUUUGAAUGUAUAAUGUAUAUGUAUCAAUAAAAUAUAAAUUAUGAUAGGUAUACCUAUUUAACAACACAUUUAAUAUAUGAAGAUAAAAUACAUUUAUUUUUCUUAUUUUUAAGUAUAAAAAAUGGUAAAUGCUGGUGAUCCUGGUAUUAAAAUUACACAUAAUCACAUGCAAAUAACUGAAUAAUUAUUUUUUGGACGUUAAUUAAAACAUCAUUUAUAUUUAAUUAAAAUCAUUAAUAAAAUAAAUCAUAACAUUUAUAAAACACAAUAUAAAUUUUCAAAAUUAAAAUCUAGCAUAAUUAUAUACAAAUUACAAAUACCUACUUUGAAUAAUAAAAAUAUCAAAUUAAUUAAAUAAUAAAUAAUAAUGAUGAUAACAAUAACAAAUUACAUAAUUAUUAAUAACCUAUAAUCAUCAAACAAUAGUUAAUAAAUUAUGUGUAUUUGUAUUUUCAUUAUUUUAUUUUUUCAUGUCUGAAGUUGAAGCACUGGUGUUGUACGGCAAUACUCCGCAAAAUAUUGGUCUACUACUCGGUUCAAUUAAACGUUAAAUACUUAUAACUUAUAACUUAUAACUCAUAAACCACUCUUCAAAAUUCAAUUUUCAUAUUGUAAUGAAAUACUUCAAAAAAUAUUCUAUCCAGAAUGUGAAACUAAAGAUAAAUGUUGUCGUUCAAAAAGUAAAAAGCUUAAAAAUUAUAACGAUAAAUAGUAUGAGUUUUUUUUUUUUUAAAUAAAAUGUUGUUUUUAUUUUAAUUGGAAAUUAUUAAAACAUAUUUUCAAAAAGAUUAAUACAUUUUGAAAUUAUGAGUGUUGUUUAAUAAAAGAAUCAUCCAAUAUAAGAUUUGUCGUGCUGAGAUAUUAUUAUGUCUACAUUUUAUAGAUUUGUAGAUGAAGUAUUUAGUGUUAGUUAUGUAAAAGGUGCUUAUGUCAGAUAACAGUAGUAAGUGCACUACAAAUAAAUGACUGCUACAAAUAAUAGUUUAAAAAGGAUGUAG